UACGGAUUGUCUUAUGUUUGUUUUUGUGUAUUGCUUUAGUGUGGAACAAAUUAUUGUUUAUGUUGUUGUACUGAUAUUGAUUUGAUUAUUUCUAUUAUAGUUUAAUUGUACUGUGAGGGGUUGGUAAGGAUUGUGUUUCUGUAAGUUGGUUUUGUUUAUCGUACCUUGUGUAUCAGGGUUUAUUAAUUUUUAUUAUUUAUUUUUUAUUUCCCGAUUCUAGGAGAGAUAAUAGUUUAUUUUAGUUGUUGUUUCAUUAGUAUUAAUAAUAUUUUAUUAGUGAUGAGAUGUCAUUCGUUUCUGGUGGUAUCUGGUUUCUUGGGAAAUAAAUUUAAUUUACACUUCUUAUUUAAUUUGUCUUUUUAGUCGGCAGGAUUUAAUGUGUAGUGAAGGUUCUGGGGGAUAAGCUUCAGUUCUUGUUUUUAUAAUUUUUUUCUUUUUAAAUUUUGGUGGACUUUAUGUUGGUUAUCUAUUUGAGUAUAUUGAAAUUUUACUUUUUCUUUUGUGAAUUUUCUUAUUAAUUUAAUUUUUUACUGGGAUGUUUAGUUUAUUUUCUUUUCUAUUAUGAUUUUGGUGGAAUUAGUAUAUUUUUUUCCUAUUUUGUUUAGUUAAUAUUUUAAUUUUUCAAGAGGAACUAGGCAAAUGGUUAUUAGUGCCCGCUUGUUUAACAAAAACAUCUCUUCUUGUGUAAUGUUUUGAAGUACGGCCUGCCCACUGAAUGAUUGAAGGGCCGCGGUAAUUUGACCGUGCAAAGGUAGCAUAAUCAUUAGUUCUUUAAUUGUGAACUGGUAUGAAUGGCUUGACGAGGUGCUGGCUGUCUUUUGUAAGAUUGAUAUAGGUUGAAUUUGGUAUUUGGGUAAGAACACCUAAAUUUUUUUAUGGGACGAGAAGACCCUAUAGAGUUUUAUAUGGACCAUUCUUAUUUGUUUGAUUUAUUUUGUGUUGAUUUGUUCUGUAUUUUGUUGGGGUGAUGGGAGGAUAUAAUUAACUCUUCUUUGUUAUGUAUACUUAUUUGUAUUAUUUUGAUCCUUUAUUAUUGAUUAUAAGAUUAAAUUACCUUAGGGAUAACAGCGUAAUCCUUUUUGAGAGUUCUUAUCGACAAAAGGGUUUGCGACCUCGAUGUUGGAUUAGGAUGAAUUUUUGGUGUAGAGGCUUAAAAUAGAAUUGUAUUAGGUCUGUUCGACCUUUAAAAUCUUACAUGAUCUGAGUUCAAACCGGCGUGAGCCAGGUUGGUUUCUAUCUAUAAUUUUGUAUAAUUUCUUAGUACGAGAGGACCAGAAAUUAUGAAUAAUUUUAUUUCUUUAUGAUUUUUAUUAAUUU
rnacentral:rRNA from 1 species